AUCCCAGACAAUCUGGUGCAGGAGCUGUGCUACGAGCUGAAUAUGGAAGCGCUGUAUGCAGUUCGUUGAGAUAAUUGUGGUUCUUUAAGGGCAUAUUUUCUUGUCAAAUGUAGCUGUUAACCAUUCAUUUAUAACAUGUGAUUUUAUAGGUCUACUUGGUACGUGAAAGGGUGGGCAUUGCAUCAAAAAGCGUUGCUGAAUAUCGAGCUGUAAUUUUGGGAUUGAAAUACGCUCUUGAAAAAGGAUAUAAACACAUUCGUGUUAAAGGACACUCUAAACGUGUCUGCAUGCAGGUUCGGGGUUUCUGGAAAACCAAAAAACGGAAUAUGGCUGAGCUUUGCCAAGAGGCCAGGGAGCUCAAGAAAAAGUUUAUGUCAUUUGAUAUCAAUCAUGUUCUUGAGGUUUACAAUUCUGACGCUGUUGUUCAAGCAAAGCGAGCAAUUAAUCUUCAAGAUGGACAAGUUGAAGUGGAUUGGAACGGGAAGUAAGCUCAAAUGAUGGAAAGGGAGACGGUUUUGGAUAAACAUAAUGCUUUUGGAUUCUGUUGGACUUGUUUAAACAUAAUGCUUUUGGAUUCUGUUGGUUAAGAUGUAUUGAAAUGCACUGCUUUUUAACUUCUGAUGGAGCAAGAGCUCCUUAGUAUGUACAUCCUAAUUUCGA